AAAGAAUAAAACUUCCUUUGCUACGCACUUGUUUCUCAAACCCUAAAAGCACAUCUUUCUUCCUCCUCUCUCACUACGGCAAUGAAGAAUUGAAAAGUUGAGAAGCUUCUUGAUUGAUUGGGUGAUGAUUAAAGAGUGAAGUGAAGUUGGAUUCGUUGUUGAUUUGUUCUUUCGGUGUGGUGCAGCAAGCAAAAGCAAAAUUAGUACCAUAGAUUUAUCGGCAGCAUAAAUUGAGAGGAGAUGCCGAUUGAUAAAUCUUGGAUGCAGUUAAGUAGAUCAGACCCAAAGUAUGAUCAAGGAGUUACAAAGUUUCUUGAUUAUGCAUAUAGCCAUGAUAAGUGGGUAGAGGAUGACAUGAUAAUAUGUCCAUGCAAAGUAUGUGGUUUAAUUCUCACAUUCUGUGGUACUAUUUAUAUCUUUCAAUUAUUUUUAUAUGUUGCUAUUUUAUGCUAU